rnacentral:lncRNA from 1 species
AGCAGACAGACCCAUUCAGGGUCACUGACCACAGCGUCCAGAGCCCAGGUCACCAUUUGUCUUCUCCCAUUAAGCUCCCAUCCGCUCCGACAGAUCAGUGUGUGGAAGUCCCUUUACUCUCUGCUCUCACCCUCCCUCCCUCCUUCCUCCACAUUUCUCUAGGUCUUUUCUAUCCCUCAAUUCCCAUGGGGAGGGGGGCAGUCCUGGCUCUAUCUGAAGGUACACAGCAAGAUUGUAGAAGUCACGUGGAAUGGGGUCCUCCCAGUCUUCUCAUGGUCCGCAGCAGGGGACAGAGCAGGGAAUGUUUUUCUGCUACUCCCAUGUUCAAUGCUUCUCACAGCAAAACACCUCGGACAUUAUGUCAAGAGAUUCUUCCUGCCAUCCAUCUCCUCCCCCCACCAGGAGCAAAUAGGGAGAAAAGACACUGGACCUUGUUCUAUCCACCUUGAAUAUGUCCUGUGAAGGUGGACAUCAGGUGUUGUCCUUUUGGGGCACUGGUGAGUCACUUCAGGGGGCAGGGUCCCUUUUCUAAUGUCCACAGAAUCCUAAAGCAAAUAUACUGCCAAGUUCACCUCCUCUGAUGGCUCAUUGCCAAAGAGAAACAGGGACUAUUUUUCCUGAGAGGUCUUUACAGAUAGUGGAGGAGGCAGAGGGUGGAUUGAAUGACCUCUGGAAGUCCAGUGGAAGUUCAGGAAGCUCCGAUAUUCAGAAAUGUAGGUUUUAAGUAGGGGCUUCACACAAUGAAACCCUUUUUAGCAUUUACUCCUGCAGGCUGAUGAGCUGAAUUAAUCACUGUUCCUCGCAAUCAAGUAAGGAAAAUGGCCUUGCCUUCAAAAACAGCUGUCAGCAAUGACUAUAAAUUGGUUCAUUUUACGCAGAAAGAUGCCCUGUGAUAGGUUGUCAGAUAAAUGAAUGCUUACUUCUAUGUGACUUGAAACAGAAUGUCGGAAGUGACAAUACAUGAAUGGAACCAGGCAGGGUAAUAAACAGCAGUCUCUUCCGUUGCCCUAAGACACCAUAUAUGCAUACAUACAUGCACACAGGGGGGUAAAAUUUGAGGUUGAAGGAUAUACAGGGGGUAAAAUUUGAG